AGCCCAAGACGCCUUGCUCAGCCACACCCCCAAGGGAAUUCAGCAGUAAUAAACAUUAAGCCAUAAGUGAAAACUUGACUUAAUUAGGGUUAAGAGGGUCGGUAAAAUUCGUGCCAGCCACCGCGGUUAUACGAAAGACCCUAGUUUAUAGGCACGGCGUAAAGGGUGGUUAUGGGAUGAAUAAAAUAAAGCCAAAGACCCCCAGAGCCGUCAUACGCCCACGAGGGCGCGAAGCCCAAGUACGAAAGUAGCUUUACCAAAUAACACCCGACCCCACGAAAGCUGGGAAACAAACUGGGAUUAGAUACCCCACUAUGCCCAGCCCUAAACCUAGAUGAAAGUUUACAAAAUCAUCCGCCAGGGGACUACGAGCACAGCUUAAAACCCAAAGGACUUGGCGGUGCCUCAGAUCCACCUAGAGGAGCCUGUUCUAGAACCGAUAACCCCCGUUAAACCUCACCACCUCUUGUUUUCCCCGCCUAUAUACCACCGUCGUCAGCUUACCCUGUGAAGGCCCAACAGUAAGCAAAAUGGGCUCAACCCAAAACGUCAGGUCGAGGUGUAGCGCACGAGGUGGGAAGAAAUGGGCUACAUUUUCUACCACAGAAUACCACGAAUGACGCCCUGAAACAUGUCGCCUGAAGGAGGAUUUAGUAGUAAAAAGCAAAUAGAGUGUCCUUUUGAACCAGGCUCUGAGGCGCGCACACACCGCCCGUCACUCUCCCC
rnacentral:rRNA from 1 species